CAGGCUUAACACAUGCAAGUCGAGGGGCAGCAUGGUCUUAUCUUGCUAAGGCCGAUGGCGACCGGCGCACGGGUGAGUAACACGUAUCCAACCUGCCGUCUACUCUUGGACAGCCUUCUGAAAGGAAGAUUAAUACAAGAUGGCAUCAUGAGUCCGCAUGUUCACAUGAUUAAAGGUAUUCCGGUAGACGAUGGGGAUGCGUUCCAUUAGAUAGUAGGCGGGGUAACGGCCCACCUAGUCUUCGAUGGAUAGGGGUUCUGAGAGGAAGGUCCCCCACAUUGGAACUGAGACACGGUCCAAACUCCUACGGGAGGCAGCAGUGAGGAAUAUUGGUCAAUGGGCGAGAGCCUGAACCAGCCAAGUAGCGUGAAGGAUGACUGCCCUAUGGGUUGUAAACUUCUUUUAUAAAGGAAUAAAGUCGGGUAUGGAUACCCGUUUGCAUGUACUUUAUGAAUAAGGAUCAGCUAACUCCGUGCCAGCAGCCGCGGUAAUACGGAGGAUCCGAGCGUUAUCCGGAUUUAUUGGGUUUAAAGGGAGCGUAGAUGGAUGUUUAAGUCAGUUGUGAAAGUUUGCGGCUCAACCGUAAAAUUGCAGUUGAUACUGGAUAUCUUGAGUGCAGUUGAGGCAGGCGGAAUUCGUGGUGUAGCGGUGAAAUGCUUAGAUAUCACGAAGAACUCCGAUUGCGAAGGCAGCCUGCUAAGCUGCAACUGACAUUGAGGCUCGAAAGUGUGGGUAUCAAACAGGAUUAGAUACCCUGGUAGUCCACACGGUAAACGAUGAAUACUCGCUGUUUGCGAUAUACUGCAAGCGGCCAAGCGAAAGCGUUAAGUAUUCCACCUGGGGAGUACGCCGGCAACGGUGAAACUCAAAGGAAUUGACGGGGGCCCGCACAAGCGGAGGAACAUGUGGUUUAAUUCGAUGAUACGCGAGGAACCUUACCCGGGCUUAAAUUGCAGAUGAAUUACGGUGAAAGCCGUAAGCCGCAAGGCAUCUGUGAAGGUGCUGCAUGGUUGUCGUCAGCUCGUGCCGUGAGGUGUCGGCUUAAGUGCCAUAACGAGCGCAACCCUUGUUGUCAGUUACUAACAGGUUCCGCUGAGGACUCUGACAAGACUGCCAUCGUAAGAUGUGAGGAAGGUGGGGAUGACGUCAAAUCAGCACGGCCCUUACGUCCGGGGCUACACACGUGUUACAAUGGGGGGUACAGAGGGCCGCUACCACGCGAGUGGAUGCCAAUCCCCAAAACCUCUCUCAGUUCGGACUGGAGUCUGCAACCCGACUCCACGAAGCUGGAUUCGCUAGUAAUCGCGCAUCAGCCACGGCGCGGUGAAUACGUUCCCGGGCCUUGUACACACCGCCCGUCAAGCCAUGGGAGCCGGGGGUACCUGAAGUGCGUAACCGCGAGGAGCGCCCUAGGGUAAAACUGGUGACUGG
rnacentral:rRNA from 1 species